rnacentral:rRNA from 1 species
UCAAGCUACAAAGGGCGCACGGUGAAUGCCCUGGCACUAGGAGCCGAUGAAGGACGCGAUAAGCUGCGAUAAGCUACAUGUAGGCGCACAUAGCCUGUGAUAUGUAGAUUUCCGAAUGGGGAAACCCAUCUAGCUACGCUAGAUACUGUAUACUGAAUACAUAGGUAUAUGGAGGUACACCUGGGGAACUGAAACAUCUAAGUACCCAGAGGAAGAGAAAGAAAAUUCGAUUCCCUAAGUAGCGGCGAGCGAACGGGGAAGAGCCCAAACCAGGAACUUAUUCCUGGGGUUGUGGAUAGAUCACAACGCUUUGAUUUCUUUAGUUGAAGAGAGCUGGAAGGCUCCGCCAUAGAAGGUAAUAGCCCUGUAAGCGAAAAAGAAAGAAAAGUAGAUCUACUCCAGAGUACCACGAGACACGUGAAACCUUGUGGGAAGCUGGGAGGACCAUCUCCCAAGGCUAAAUACUACCUAGUGACCGAUAGUGAAGCAGUACCGUGAGGGAAAGGUGAAAAGAACCCCGGAAGGGGAGUGAAAUAGAAUCUGAACCGUGUGCCUACAAUCGGUCGGAGCACAUUGAAGUGUGACGGCGUACUUUUUGUAGAACGGGCCAGCGAGUUACGAUGUGCAGCAAGGUUAAGCACUUAUGGUGUGGAGCCGAAGGGAAACCGAGUCUGAACAGGGCAACUAGUUGCAUAUUGUAGACCCGAAACCGAGUGACCUAUCCAUGGCCAGGAUGAAGCGGAAGUAAAAUUCCGUGGAGGUCCGAACCACGUUGGCGUUGAAAAGCCAUGGGAUGAGCUGUGGAUAGCGGAGAAAUUCCAAUCGAACUCGGAGAUAGCUGGUUCUCCUCGAAAUAGCUUUAGGGCUAGCGUCGGGUAAUUAAGUAGUGGAGGUAGAGCACUGAAUGGGCUAGGGGCUGACAACAGUUACUGAACCCUAUCAAACUCCGAAUGCCAUAUACUUGUACCCCGGCAGUCAGACUACGAAUGAUAAGAUCCGUGGUCAAAAGGGAAACAGCCCAGACCAUCAGCUAAGGUCCCAAAGUGUAAGUUAAGUGGGAAAGGAUGUGGGAUUUCUAAGACAACUAGGAUGUUGGCUUAGAAGCAGCCACUCAUUUAAAGAGUGCGUAAUAGCUCACUAGUCGAGAGAUCCUGCGCCGAAGAUGUAACGGGGCUCAAACUUACCACCGAAGCUAUGGAUGUAUACUUUGUAUACGUGGUAGAGGAGCUUUCUGUACAGGUGAAGCCAUACCGUAAGGAGUGGUGGACAGUACAGAAGUGAGAAUGCUGGCAUAAGUAGCGAAAAACAAGUGAGAAUCUUGUUGGCCGAAUAUCUAAGGUUUCCUGGGGAAGGCUCGUCCUCCCAGGGUUAGUCGGGACCUAAGCCAAGGCCGAAAGGCGUAGGUGAUGGACAACUGGUUGAUAUUCCAGUACCGCCAUGAUGCGUUUGACAAAUGGGAUGACGUAGGAGGAUAGGAUGUGCGCACUAUUGGAUGUGCGUCUAAGCACUUAGGGUGUUAAGUAGGCAAAUCCGCUUAACAUUAAGCCUGAGGUGUGAUGGGGAGUCAUUUUUGACGAAGUAUCUGAUUCCACGCUGCCAAGAAAAGUCUCUAUGGAGCAAAAUGGUGCCCGUACCGCAAACCGACACAGGUAGAUGAGGAGAGAAUCCUAAGGCCGUCGGAAGAAUUACUGCUAAGGAACUCGGCAAAUUGACCCCGUAACUUAGGGAGAAGGGGUGCCUACGAGAGUAGGCCGCAGUGAAUAGGCUCAAGCAACUGUUUAUCAAAAACACAGGUCUCUGCUAAAGCGUAAGCUGAUGUAUAGGGGCUGACGCCUGCCCGGUGCUGGAAGGUUAAGGGGAAUAGUUAGCGUAAGCGAAGCUAUGAACUUAAGCCCCAGUAAACGGCGGCCGUAACUAUAACGGUCCUAAGGUAGCGAAAUUCCUUGUCGGGUAAGUUCCGACCCGCACGAAUGGCGUAAUGAUUUGAGCACUGUCUCGGCAGUAAAUCCGGUGAAAUUGUAGUGCAAGUGAAGAUGCUUGCUACCCGCGGUUGGACGGAAAGACCCCGUAGAGCUUUACUGUAGCUUAGCAUUGAAUUUCGGUAUUGUCUGUACAGGAUAGGUGGGAGACUUAGAAACCAGGGCGUCAGCUUUGGCGGAGUCAUCCUUGGGAUACACCCUGAUAGUACUGGAAUUCUAACUGGAGCCAUGAAUCUGGUCACAGGACAUUGCUAGGUGGGCAGUUUGACUGGGGCGGUCGCCUCCUAAAAGGUAACGGAGGCGCCCAAAGGUUCCCUCAGCGCGGUCGGAAAUCGCGCGUAGAGUGCAAAGGCAGAAGGGAGCCUGACUGCGACACAUACAGGUGGAGCAGGGACGAAAGUCGGGCUUAGUGAUCCGGUGGUUCUGUAUGGAAGGGCCAUCGCUCAACGGAUAAAAGCUACCUC